rnacentral:lncRNA from 1 species
UAGAAAAGCUCCUUACAGGUGCUGGAGUCAAGGAUGUUAAAGCUCGGCUGCUUGUUCGUUAUUCUGGUCUGUGGCAUCAGAGGCACUGCAGGCCUGCUUGGCAGGAGUAGAAAUGAAGAUGAUACAGCUGGUGGAGACAAAGCUGUAGCAGGGCUACCUAGUACAAAUGCAAGUCAAACAAGAGGAGUCAUGAGAGCUACAAGGAACACAGACAGUUCACCUGACUACACAGUUGUUUAUUCCACUGUCACUGCCAGCAUCCUUGACACGGCAUUUAAUGACUAUCUCCAGUACUUACUAGCAGAUGUGAUCAAGGAUAUCUUGCCCCUGAACAUAAUGAAAUUACUCCCUAAAACAGUCACAGAUGUGAAUGAACUGCUAAAAGGCAGAGCUGAUCCAAACAUAAAUCUAACUGGAGACCUGAAAAGCCAUGGAGCUCAGCUCAAUAUAUUCGCCUUAAUCCGGAGCAUCACCCAGUUAUUGAUUGUCAAGAUUUACAUCACGACAACAACAAUGUCAUUUUCACCUGGCAACAAGAUUCACCUGUCUCUUCCAGUUGAGCUCAAUGUAGAGGGCAAAAGGCAAGUAACUUAGAGGAU